AUUGAACGCUGGCGGUAUGCUUAACACAUGCAAGUCGAACGAUGAGAAAGAGCUUGCUCUUUCGAUUAGUGGCGGACGGGUGCGUAACGCGUAGGAAUCUACCUAUUAGUGGGGGACAACUUAGGGAAACUUAAGCUAAUACCGCAUACGCCCUACGGGGGAAAGAAGGGGAUCGCAAGCCCUUUUGCUAAUAGAUGAGCCUGCGUAGGAUUAGCUAGUUGGUGGGGUAAAAGCUCACCAAGGCGACGAUCCUUAACUGGUUUGAGAGAAUGAUCAGGCACCCUGGAACUGAGACACGGUCCAGACUCCUACGGGAUGCAUCAGUGGGUAAUAUUGGACAAUGGUCGAAAGCCUGUUCCAGCAAUACCGCGUGUGUGAAGAAGGCCUUAGGGUUGUAAAGCACUUUCAAUUGGAAGGAAAACCUCGAAGCUAAUACCUUCGAGUUUGACAUUACCUUUAGAAGAAGCACCGGCUAACUCCGUGCCAGCCGCCGCCGUAAAAC
rnacentral:rRNA from 1 species